UACGAAGGGGGCUAGCGUUGCUCGGAAUUACUGGGCGUAAAGCGCACGUAGGCGGCUUUCUAAGUCGGACGUGAAAUCCCCAGGCUCAACCUGGGAACUGCGUCCGAUACUGGAUGGCUUGAAUUCGGGAGAGGGAUGCAGAAUUCCAGGUGUAGCGGUGAAAUGCGUAGAUAUCUGGAGGAAUACCGGUGGCGAAGGCGGCAUCCUGGACCGACAUUGACGCUGAGGAGCGAAAGCUAGGGGAGCAAACGGGG
rnacentral:rRNA from 1 species